GGGGAUUUAGCUCAGCGGCAUAAGCGCCUGCCUUGUAAGCAGGCAGUCAUGGAUUCGAUCCCCAGUACCCA
rfam:Cavia porcellus supercont2_47 genomic scaffold, whole genome shotgun sequence.